AAAACAUCGCCUCUUGCAACAUAAUAAGUAUAAGAGGUCCAGCCUGCCCAGUGACCACAAGUUAAACGGCCGCGGUAUUUUAACCGUGCAAAGGUAGCGCAAUCACUUGUCUUUUAAAUAAAGACCUGUAUGAAUGGCUAAACGAGGGCUUAACUGUCUCCCAUUUCAAGUCAGUGAAAUUGAUUUACCCGUGCAGAAGCGGGUAUAAUAAUACAAGACGAGAAGACCCUUUGGAGCUUAAGGCGUAAAACUCAACCAUGUCAAGCAACUCAAUAAAAAGCAUCCUCAAACUUUGUGGUAAAUGAGACCACUGCCUUCGGUUGGGGCGACCACGGAGAAAAAGAAAGCCUCCAAGUGGAAUGGGGCAUAUCCCCUAAAACCAAGAGAGACAUCUCUAAGCUACAGAAUAUCUGACCAUAAAUGAUCCGGUCGACCAACGACCGAUCAACGAACCAAGUUACCCUAGGGAUAACAGCGCAAUCCUCUCCCAGAGUCCAUAUCGACGAGGGGGUUUACGACCUCGAUGUUGGAUCAGGACAUCCUAAUGGUGCAGCCGCUAUUAAGGGUUCGUUUGUUCAACGAUUAAAGUCCUACGUGA
rnacentral:rRNA from 1 species